rnacentral:misc_RNA from 1 species
UUUCCGUAGGUGAACCUGCGGAAGGAUCAUUAUUGUAUAACCGAGGUGCGAGGGCUGUCGCUGACCCGAAAGGUCGUGCACGCCCGAGUGCCCUCACACACAUCCAUCUCACCCCUAUAUGCACCACCGCGUGGGUCCCUCUUUGGCUUGUUCGGAGGGGGGCUUACGUUUUCACACAAACUUUGUAUGCAGUGUAGAAUGUAUUUUUUGUUUUUGCGAUCACGCAAUCAAUACAACUUUCAACAACGGAUCUCUUGGCUCUC